UCAAAGGUUCUCUCAUAGAGAUUAGCCAGCAAAAUAGACAAGCUAAUCUAGUUAGGACUUGAUGUCUUGAGAUUCAAUCCAUAUUGAGCCUACAGUGAGGUCCGAAAUGACGAACAAAGUCCAACAAACCUAAGAACAGUCCAAAUGAAGUCUAAAUGGCAAAGUUACAUGCGAGAGAAGCUAGCACGGCCCAUGGAGCAGCGGAGGCCGGUGGAGGCUGGUGACGGGCCGAUGGAGGCCGAGGUGGAGCAAGCGUGCGAACGCAUGGGCGUGGUGGUGUGCGGCCCAGGCCCAGACGGGCACAUGCAAGUGCGGCUCACAC
rnacentral:lncRNA from 1 species